GGGCUGCUGGUGAAGUGGAGAUCACACCCUACAUCUAGUAGGGAGACGUGGGUUCAAUUCCCGCGCAGUCCA